rnacentral:snoRNA from 1 species
AAGACUAUUUUCAGGAAUCAUUUUUAUAGUUCGUUACUAGAAAAGUUUUUCUGAAUGUGUAGAGCACCGGAAGCCACGAGUAGGAGAAGUAGCGUUCUCUUUUGAGCGUGAAGUCAGCAUUUGGUGUUGCUUUCUUGUAGCUACAUUUUGCUAUUGAUGAUCGUUUUUCCCUCUUUUGGGGAGGGUGAGAGGAAGAGAACGCAGUCUGAGUGGU